ACUACGGGUGGCAGCAGUCGAGAAUCAUUCACAAUGGGGGAAACCCUGAUGGUGCGACGCCGCGUGGGGGAAUGAAGGUCUUCGGAUUGUAAACCCCUGUCAUGUGGGAGCAAAUUAAAAAGAUAGUACCACAAGAGGAAGAGACGGCUAACUCUGUGCCAGCAGCCGCGGUAAUACAGAGGUCUCAAGCGUUGUUCGGAAUCACUGGGCGUAACGCGUGCGUAGGCUGUUUCGUACGUCGUGUUUGAAAGGCGCGGGCUCAACCCGCGGACGGCACAUGAUACUGCGAGAAUAGAGUAAUGGAGGGGGAACCGGAAUUCUCGGUGUAGCAGUGAAAUGCGUAGAUAGAAGGAAGAACACCAGUGGCGAAGGCGGAUGACUGGACGGCAACUGACGGUGAGGCGCGAAAGCGUGGGGAGCAAACAGGAUUAGAUACCCGUGUAGUC
rnacentral:rRNA from 1 species